UGAACAAGCAUCAUUUGAGAGUGUAAGAUUUAAGCUGUGCGCUGACCGGCAGAUCCUGGAGCUGGAGGCCCCUGUACGAUGGCUAGCUACUUCUACAGAGUUUUUCCCUUGCUGGAGUCAAGCUUGCCACAUGGUCCUGUCCACAAUGGGCAGCUCCUGCACAAGACAAAUCCAUCACCUCGCUUGUUCAUUUUGCUUCCUCUUUCUGGAAGUUGAACAGGUUGGCUGGUAGGAACAAACAACCUUGCAUUGAGAGCACCUAUAGAAGUCUCUGUUGCAAAGAAGUGCAGUUCCCGCUCAGCCUCUCUUUUCCAGGAUGGAGAAUGAGUAGAAAAUCUUAACAACUCAAGGGCUCCCAAGACUUGGAAAAAACUCUGAAUCAUUUCUUUCUUGUCAUUGCUUCAUGCUUCACUUCUUUGGGCAAUGCUAUGAAAGCACAUUGUUCACUGUUCUGGUAAUGUUAAAAUGACCCAUAAUAUGAUAUUGGAAAAUCACCAAAUUAUUUCACAGGUGAAUGGAAUGUUAAAGUUGCAAGCCAAGACAUUUAGUUAAAUGUACUUUUUCAUCCUGUUUGAUGCUUUUAGUAUAAUUAAUCUUGUAUAGUUAUAAAGACAAAGUUGCAUUUUUUCCAAAGAUCUUCAUGCUCCUUUCAGUUUGUCAAGAGUAAGUCUUAGAAAACCAUCUUUUAAAAGUGAUGUUGCUUUAAAUUGUUUCACUAGGUCUAAUUUUUCAAUGUCAUCUUUUGUUU